rnacentral:rRNA from 1 species
GACGAACGCUGGCGGCGUGCUUAACACAUGCAAGUCGAACGGUGAAGCGCUUGCCUUUUUGGUGGGUGUGGAUGAGUGGCGAACGGGUGAGUAACACGUGAGUAACCUGCCCUCUUCUUCUGGAUAACCUCAUGAAAGUGGGGCUAAUACGGGGUAUUCCGGGUCUGUCGCAUGGCGGGUUUGGGAAAGAUUGCGCCUUUGGGUGUUUUCGGUGGGGGAUGGGCUCGCGGCCUAUCAGCUUGUUGGUGGGGUGAUGGCCUACCAAGGCGGUGACGGGUAGCCGGCCUGAGAGGGUGGACGGCCACACUGGGACUGAGACACGGCCCAGACUCCUGCGGGAGGCAGCAGUGGGGAAUAUUGCACAAUGGGCGCAAGACUGAUGCAGCGACGCCGCGUGAGGGAUGGAGGCCUUCGGGUUGUGAACCUCUUUCGCCAGUGAAGCAGGCCUGCUCCUGUGUGGGUGGGUUGACGGUAGCUGGAUAAGAAGCGCCGGCUAACUACGUG